rnacentral:rRNA from 1 species
GACAGAGGGGGCAAGCGUUGCUCGGAAUCACUGGGCGUAAAGGGCGCGUAGGCGGGAUGGCAAGUCGGUCGUGAAAUCCUUCGGCUCAACCGAAGAACGUCGGCCGAUACUGCUGUUCUUGAGGGAUGCAGAGGAGAUUGGAAUUCCCGGUGUAGCGGUGAAAUGUGUAGAGAUCGGGAGGAACACCAGUGGCGAAGGCGACUUCCUGGCCUGUUCUUGACGCUGAGGCGCGAAAGCUAGGGUAGCAAACGGG